rnacentral:tRNA from 1 species
GGGCUCGUAGCUCAGUGGUAGAGCGGUCGGCUCAUAACCGAUUGGUCGUAGGUUCGAUCCCUGCCGAGCCCACCA